rnacentral:ncRNA from 1 species
AGGUGCGCUUUUUUUAGCCUCAAAAGGGAAGCCGGUGCAAAUCCGGAACUGUGCCCGCAGCUGUGAUGUUCUUGAACGGAAGGCCUCGAUGCCAUUGGUGAGAUGCCCGGUCAGACCGGGCCAGACGCACCGAGAAGGCGGCCUUGCCGGGACUCAGUCAGAAGACCUGCCCCUGUC